rnacentral:lncRNA from 1 species
AAAAAUGGUAGUGGUGCUUUGUAAGGCCUCCAGGAUUGUGUCUCUUUUAAAUGGGGAAAAGGUGAGGCACUAAAUACUUUAAAAAUCUGUAAUUCCCCAAAUUGUCACUUGUCUCGUGUCCCCCAAGUCAUCCUGGGAGCUUUUUCCACGUCAAGGAAAGAUAAAUGGACAAACACAGUUUACACAUACCAAGCACAUUUGUUUAAUAAACAAUGCUGAGAAAGUUUAACUGAAACUCUAAAGCCACUAAAGGGGACAAAUAAUUAAUUUCAAGUCAUCAAACUGUUUAAACGGAAAUGUAAUUUUAAUAAAGUGAUAUAAGGGCCGAAGAUUUGUACAGCAGAAAGCUAAAGUCCAAAAAUCAAAAUGUGAAAACUAAAGGAAAGCAAUGGGUUUUGUCCUAGAGAACUUCCCAAAGUUUUCUCUGAAUGUUCAUGGGAACAUUUGCACCUGGGACUGAAGCUGCAUUUCUGGGUGGGAUUGGCUCCAGGUGUUUCCAUUUCCAUCCAAAGAGAGGCUGCAGUUCCCCCUAUUUCAGUGAUCCAGCAGGGAGUGCCCACUUUUGGAAGGUUCAGGCUGCUCCAGGGAGGUUUUUCCCCUUCCACUGCUCAUCCCCUCUCGGCUCUGCACAUCACCCUCUCAGGGCCCUUCUGAAGACAUAACCCUGCUGAAAGGAACAGAUGCAUUCCCUUAGGAAGUGAUCCAGCCCCAAACUGUGUCUGACGAGGUGAGCACAGCUGGGGAGCGUUUGUGUUUGGGCUCCAAGGGGCAGCGUGUUCCCCAGCCACAGGGCGAGUGGCACAUUUAAUGACAAUUAGUGUUAAUUUGUUGAAAUAGUGGAAGUUUUAGAAUGGCCAGGCUCAUCCAGCACUGGUUCUGAGCUGUUUAUUCUUGAUAUCAGACGUGUCCCAGCUUUCUGUUCCUGUGAAAUGUGCCCAGCUCUGAGUGCUCGAAGGAUGCGCCGUGUCUGUGAUAAAUGGCAUCAGGCCUCCAAAGGCAGCAGCCUCUCGUGUCUGUGUUUUAA